GGAUCAUUGUCCAACAUACUCAAGCAAGUGAGUUCAUUUUCUGAAAGAGUAGACAAAUAUACAAUAUAAAUAUUGUUAACUCUUUUUCCCUGCAAAACAAUCUUGUCAGUGGUAGGGUUAAUCACAAAGCAUUUGGUAGAGGUAAAUGCUACAAGGUUACCUCUAUCACACAGUUGUGAUAUACUGAUUAGGCUAUAUUUCAAGCCAUCUAUCAAAUAGACAUUCUCAAUGGAGUGUGAGUCUGUCUUGCCUACCUUUCCAACCCCAAUAAUCUCACAUUUCCCAUUUCCAAAAGAGACAUUACCUCAUUUUAAGUCCUCAAGUGAAAGGAAUUGGUUCUUGCUUCCAGUCAUAUGUUUUGAGCAGCCACUAUCCAUAUACUAUAUUUGGCUACUUCCCUUCACUUGGACCUGCAAAAAGAAAUCAGGGGUUAGUCUUAAGAACCCAAACUAGUUUGGGUCCCUUUCUAUAGGCAAAAUGAUAAAUCAAAUUCCUUUUAGCCCACCCAGGCAGCCUAUUUUUCUCUUGAACAAAAGCUUUGUUCUUUUGACUGGCCUUUUCUUUUGCAUUACAUUCAUUUUUGUAAUGACCAGUCUUGCCACAGUGUGUGCAGAUUUUGUUUUUAGGAAGAGUGAGGUACUUUCUUUUGGGGUUGCACUUAGGUGCUUGUGCCCCAUAGCCAAGUCCUCUAUUGUUGCUAUUGUGAUGUUCUUGUAGCCAGGAUAUUGCAUCAGAAGCCUUAUUCCAUUUGUAAAUUCUGUCUAAUUCAUGUUUUACCUUUCCUAGGUCUUCUUUUAAGACUCUUAUCUGCUCAUCUUUCUUGUACAACUCAUCCUUCAUUUUCCUAGGUCUUCUUCUAAGGUGAGAUGUGUGUGAUCAGCUUUCUUCUUACCUGUUCCUAAUUUUAGUUUUAAAUUAUCAGAUCUAAGUUCUAGGACACUGUUGUCAAGUUCAAGAACCUGGUUCUUCAACUCAGUAUUUUUACUGUCACUCUCAUUAGCCCUAGAUUCUAGAUUUUUGCACUUGGCUUUUAAGAUCACACACUCCCUAGACAGCUCUUCCUUCUCAUUGUUAAUUAUUUCAGACUCAUCGAUGAAGUCCAGCAAUAGUUCAGACAAACUUUCUUUAGACAGAAAUUUAAUCUUGUCUUUGAGAUGAAGGACAUUUACCUAUUGUUCAUCAUUUGAUUCUUUGAUGGCCAUAAGUGCUUGUUCAUCUCCAACUUCAUCUUCUGAAUCCUCAUCUGAUGUUUCUCCCCAGCAGCGACCAUAGCCUUUGUUGAUACUUUGUUCCUUUUGGGUUGAACCUGUUCCUUCUUUCUGUUCCUUUGUUCAGCCUUUUCCUUCUUCCAUUCAAUUACCCACUGAGGACAGUUCUUGAUCAAGUGAUCAGUCUUGCCACAUUUGUAACAACCCUCGUUGGUCUGUUUUUUAGGAGCCCUUGAUUUUUUGAAGGUUGUACCUUUUGAAGAACCAUUUCCUAUCAUUAGGUACUUUUUGAAAUCCUUUAUGAUCAUGGCCAUUUCAUCAUCCUCCAGAUCUGCACCUUUAGCUAUUUUGAGAGCCAGACUCCUCUCCUUCUUAGGUUCAUCCAUUUUCAUGGUUUGCCUUCUUAGUUCAUAGGCAGUAAGGUUUUCAAUCAGUUCAUCCAACUUGAGAGUAGCAAUGUUCUUUGAUUCUUAAAUAGCAAUGAUUUUACUUUCCCAAGUCACGGGUAAGACCCUUGUCAAGAUUUUCUCAACCCCGUCUUCUUCAAGGAAAAUUAUCCUAAGAGAUUUAAGUUCAUUUGCUAGUGUUGUGAACCUUGUGUACAACUCCUGGAUAGUUUCUCCUUCCUUCAUAGUGAAAUUCUCAUAUUGUGAAUAUAGCAGUGUUCCUCUUGAUCUCUUUACUUGAGAAGUUCCUUCAUGAGCCACUUGUAAAGUGUCCCAUAUCUCCUUAGCAGUGGUACAACUUUGAAUCCUACUGUACUCAUCUAGACCAGUCCACACACAAGCCAUUUCUUGACAUUGGCAUUCUUCCCCCAUUUCUUCAAGUCUUCAACAGUGCAGUCAGCUCUUGUCUUUGGCACAUCCACUCCUUCAGCAUUCUUCUUUGUAGUCGCCAGGGGACCAUCACUAACUAUGUCCCAAAGUUCAUAGUCAUCUCCUAUGAUUUGAUCUCUCAUCCCGUUCUUCCACCAAGAAUAUUACAGACCAUUAAAGAGUAGAGGCCUAGCAGUGGAUUGCCCUUCCUAGUUUUUAGGUGGUGCACUCAUCUUGAUCUUUUUCUAAGGUGUUAACCUCUUCAAGGAUAACCCGUUCUGAUUCCAAUUGAUGUUUUAAGCGUCAAUACCACACAAGAGGGGUUGAUUUAUGUGGUACCCUAUUUUCGCUUAACUGAACUAUAGAAGGACCUGGUUCUUCUAGGUGUUCCAACUACUACUAUUUACGGAAUAAUAAAUACAGAAAUAAAGAACACAGAGAUUUUUACGUGGAAAACACCUGGCUCAAAAGGUGAAAAAACCACGACCAAUUACUCAGUAGGAUUUUUCCAAACUUCCACUAAAAUCACUGAGCCAAAACAGCAUUUACAAAACCCUUUGUAAACCUAAGGAUUAACUCUAAUCCCGUUGUGGCACACAGCCUCAACUGUUGCGAAAACUUCAAGUUAACUCUAACUUGAACACUCUAGGUACCUAAUAUAAUUGCUUCUAUGAAAGCUGAAAGGUGAAAUGUAAAAUCUCCUACUACAAUUGAACUAGAAUAUAAUAUAGACACAUGGAGCUGGUUCUUCUAUCUCGUUCAAGUAGCUUCAGGAUUGCACACUCAAAUCGUACAUAAAUUGCUUGCAAAAUCGUCUUGCUCUUUUUCUCUCAAUUUAAGUUUAACUUCUGCUUAUGUGUAUUACCUAUAAAACAGAACAACACUGGAAUUUAAUAGGUUAGUAAUCAGAGUUUGACUGGGAUUCAAUCACUACUCUUCUAUCGUAGAAGAGUUCAUGCUGAUCUUAAACUCUAACAAUAUCUUUUUCCUAAAUUGUGUUCUCUUCGUGUAAGGAGUCUUUCUCUCCUUAUCCAAUAUGCAAUCUUUUCAAUCAGAUCAAGAGAAAUUGCUUCUUGAUCAGUUAGAUUUAUCUCCUUCAUGUGCAUCUCACAUGUAUAGGUUGAUCAUGAUUGUGCUUCAUAAGAUGGACCUGGUCCAUGUCUGAGUUCUUUUUUCAAUCUUCAAAACCCCACCUGUACUUGGGCCAACAUGGUAGAAAUCCUACCUAUAGGUGUUUACUUUGCUCAAAUACGUUCUAUUAUUGUGCAUUAGAUAACAUGCCUAUAGGUGUUUGCUUUGCUCAUUCUGCUAUUGUGUGUGUUAGAUAACCUACCUCUAGGUGUUUACUUUGCUCAAAUACAUUCCGCUAUUGUAUGCCUAUGGGUGUUUAAUCCGUCUAGCUUAUUCUCCUUUUACAUUUCAGAUACCAUGCCUAUAGGAAAUAAAAGUACCCAAAGUCCAAUUUGUAUUGCAGCAUAUUCAUUAGGCGCCAUGAUCAUAGGGCCAUUUAUAUUCUACAAAUCUGCAUCUUUAGAAAUCAUGUCUAUAGGAUUUUAAUUGAUUGAUAUGUUAUUUGUUCGUUUAGUAUGCUUGCCUAUAGGAACUAAAACCAGUUUUAAUCAUCAAGGGUAGGAAUCAUGUCCAUAGGGUGAUCACCAUCUGUGUUAAGCACUUAAAUUAGGCUUUAAAACAUUGUCUCGUUGAACGCCAUUAGAAAGCAUGCAUAUAGGAACAACAAAGUAAUUCUGACUAUCUCUCGUUGCUUAUCAUUGCCAAAUACUGAGUAAAUCACCUAGAUAGAAUGACUAUAGAUUUUAACCGCUUAUAUUUAUAAUCCAUAGGCAACUGUGCAAUCACUUAGAAAUUACUUUGCAUAACUGCCAGCAUGAUUAAAAUUCGGAAUCACAUAGAAACCAUGUCUAUAGGACCUAACAACUUUAAUUGUUACAACUGUCAAACGCAUAAUUUAUUGCGUGCAUUUGCUACCUAAAUGUGGAGGCUAAAUUGAGCCCUUAUUUGCUUUUACAUGAAAGUCCAACUUGUUUUUGUAUGUCACCUAGUUUUUAUAAUUUUGAGCAACCUAAGUUAAGUCUAGAACCAUCCCAAAAUAGAGGUCUAAACGCCUCCUAGACCAUUGGCAAGGGACAGGUAGUGCACGCAUAGGGUACGAUUUAGAAUUGAUUAGAUCGCUUUAGGUAAAUAACUUAAAUAUAGUAAUCGGGUAGCAGGAGAUGAUAGUAUGUGCUUGCUGAAUAAUAUGAGUAACACCCUGUCACACCUCCUUUUUACCUACACCCCGCAAAGGGGUAUAUAAGAGAGUUUUUUCCAAUUUAAGUGACAAUCGAAACGGGAUUAUUUAUUUAAAAAUUCAGAGUCGCCACUUGGGAUAAUUUUAUGGUGUCCCAAGUCACCGGUUCAAAUCCCGAAUAGAGGAAAAGAUUGACUCUGUAUUACAGUCUGCGAACACAAAAAUCCGGGUAAGAAAUUCUGUUAAUCCGGGAGAAAGUAUUAGGCAUUCCCGAGUUCCGUGGUUCUAGCACCGUCACUCAACUGUUAUAAUUGGCCUAUUUAUCUGAUUUUAACACAUGUUUAAACCUAUGUGCAUUUUAACACCUUUUAAAAACCGCCUUUAUUUAAUUUUAAGAAAAAUUCAACGUUAUCAAAAAAAUACGUCUUGAACCACGUCACAUAAAUGCACCCGUAGUCCGCAACAUACUUUAUCUAACAUUGUUAAGAUUUAGAUUUAGGUCACAUAAAUGCACACCCGAGUUUAGGAAGGUGAAUUUAUUAAAAUGGCGCGCCUAAAGCAACUAUGUGUUUGCAACUUCGCGAGGGCUAUGGAAAUUAGCUAAAUGGCACGCCUCAAUUUCUAAUUUCAAAGGAUUUUAUUAUUCAAAGUUGUUAUAAUCGGGUUAUAUGAAAUGCACCCCCGAAUUGAGAUUCACAUAUCGUAACCAUGCCACGGGAACAGUAUCCAUGGCCACUAACCAAUCACGCCACUAUGAAACCCAACUUCUAUUAAUUCAAAUUAAAAAAACCAAGGCUUAACACUAGUAUUCACUGAUUUUUAAUUCAACUUUCAAGAACAAAAUUAAUAACAAUAUAUCAAUGCUACAUACUCAUAAGAUCAACAAAGUACAAAGCCAAACAUGUCAAAGUUGUUCAAUUAGCCAUACUGUAUUCGUGAGUGGAUGAUUCAGAAAAGAUGACAUAUAAAACAUGUCAAAUCGCGGCAUGUAAAGUUGUGAGAAACUUUUGUCCAAAAGCUAAGCUAAAGCAGCUGCAAUAUAUAGAACUAUACACAUGGAUUCAUCAAGCACGUAUUUGAGAGCUCAACCAGACAGAGAUGAUAAUUAAAAUUACUCUAAUGUUUCAUCCAAGUCAAUACAAAGCACACCUUAGAGAAACAGAAAUUUCAAUCUGAAGAGGGCCACGGAAAUUCAAAACAAAUUCAAUCAUUCCUCAUUUGAUGAAAAUAUAAUACAAGGAACUUGGCACUAACCUACUUGAAAUCGAAGCUCAGCCAACAGCAGCCAACAAAUCCGGCAAUCAACAACGAACAACUCUAAAUUUCAACUUGAAGAACAGCUAUCGGACCUUUGAACUAAACGGAACCAGUGAACGGACCUCGACAAGGAACCAAGGGAAACGGUCGUCGAAACUCAGUCAUCUAAGCUCAACCAAAAACUCGAGACUCAUCGGAAAAGGGUAUUAAACGAGUUUUGCGACUCCUCACUGUUUUCAGCGCCUUUGUUCGUUAGCUCUAGAGCUCGAAAGUUGUCAUCGAACUCCCGGCCAGCUCUGGUGAUGAAGAAGCUGGUUUGGUUGCUUGAAGAAGGGGUCGCUGGAGAAUAUGGAGUCGGGGGGUGGGGGUGCUUGAAUAAGACG
rnacentral:lncRNA from 1 species